GACGAACCGUGCGAACGUUGUUCGGAAUCACUGGGCUUAAAGGGCGCGUAGGCGGGCCAUCAAGUACGGGGUGAAAUCCUCCGGCUUAACCGGAGAAUUGCAUUGGAUACUGGUGGUCUUGAGGGAAGUAGGGGUCUGCGGAACUUCCGGUGGAGCGGUGAAAUGUGUUGAUAUCGGAAGGAACGCCGGUGGCGGAAGCGGCGGAAUGGGCUUCUUCUGACGCUUAGGCGAGAAAGCUAGGGGAGCAAACGGG
rnacentral:rRNA from 1 species